AUACGUAUGUCGCGAGCGUUAUCCGGAAUUAUUGGGCGUAAAGCGAGUCUAGGCGGCUUGUUAAGUCAGAUGUGAAAAUGCGGGGCUCAACUCCGUAUUGCGUUUGAAACUGGCAGGCUAGAGUACUGGAGAGGUGGGCGGAACUACAAGUGUAGAGGUGAAAUUCGUAGAUAUUUGUAGGAAUGCCGAUAGUGAAGACAGCUCACUGGACAGAUACUGACGCUAAAGCUCGAAAGCGUGGGGAGCGAACAGGAUUAGAAACCCGUGUAGUCC
rnacentral:rRNA from 1 species